rnacentral:lncRNA from 10 species
GCUGGAGCACAGUGUUUCGAUCUUGGCUCACUGCAAUCUCUGCCUCCUGGGUCAAGCAAUUCUUGUGCUUUAGCAUCCUGAGUAGCUGGAAUUACAGGUGUGUGUCACCACACUCGGCUAAUUUUUGGAUUUUUAGUAGAGACAGGGUUUCGCCAUGUUGGCUGGCUGGUCUCGAACUCCUGACCUCAGGUGAUCUGCCUGGCUCAGCCUCCCAAAGUGCUGGGAUUAGUGGUGUGAGCCACCGCAUCUGGCCCAAAUGCGAUUUCUUGAAGCUCUCCCUUACCUCAAAGAACAGAGUCUGGCUCUUCCAUUCUGACAGUAAGCACAGGUCUAUCAUUGCCUUCAGUUGCCUUCAGGACCACUGGGGUCUGUUGCAGUCACUUUAGGGGAUUGAGUCUUUGGCCACCUCUCAGAGUCCUUGAACAGUCUCAGCCAGCUGCUUAGGUUGAAUGAUCAAAGCAGCAAGUCCUGGCUUCACUGAACCAAAAAUGUCCCUUCCAGAAUUGGAAGCUGUUCUGGUGUUUUCUGCACAAAAGUGUAAACAUAGAUUCAAGUUCCAGUGCUUUCUGCAUCCAACAGAAUUCCAUAGAAGGCCCUGGCUCUGACCUCGAUGGAAUGCAUGGAAGACAGGAAGAUACUCUUAAACCCAGCCUGCUGCAAACACAGGUUACUUCCAGCACGAAAAAGUUACACCCGAGGAGGUGGCCAUUCUCUUCUCAAGAGGUGGUGAGUCUAGGCCCUUCUUGCAGAAGCAGAGCUGCACAUACACAUCUUUUUUUUUUUUUUUUUUUUUAAGACACGGUCUUGGUCUGUUGCCCAGGCUGGAGUGCAGUGGUGCAAUCUCAGCCUUCUGGUUUCAAGCAGUCCUCCCGCCUCAGCCUCCUGAGUAGCUGGGACUACGGGUGCAUGCCAGCACGUCUGGCUAAUUUUUGUAUUUUUUGUAGAGAUGAGGUUUUGCCGUGUUGCGUAUGCUGGUCUUGAACUCCUGGGCUCAAGCUAUCUGCCUGCCUCAGCCUCCCAAAGUGCUGGGAUUACAGACGUAAGCCAUCAUGCCCGGCCAAAUUCCUUAUCCUUAUCUCUUUCUCUCUCUUUUUCUUUUUCUUUUUUUCUUUUUUGUUUGUUAAGACAGGGUUUCACUCUGUUGCCCAGGUUGGAGUACAAGAGGCAGGAUCACAGCUCACAGCAGCUUCGAACUCCUGGGCUCAAGUGAUCCUCCCUCCUCAGCAUCCUGAGUAGCUGGGACUAUAGGUGUGCCACUACACCUGGCCAAUUUUUAAAUUUUUUGGAGAUAGUGUCUUGCUGUGUUGCCCAGGUUGGUUUUAACUCCUGGCCUCAAGCGAUCCUUUCACUGGCCCCUCCCAAAGUGUUGGGAUUAUAGGAAUGAGACACUGCACCUGACCUCCUUAUUAUUCUCUUUUUUUUUAGACGGAGUCUCGCU